UACGGAGGAUCCGAGCGUUAUCCGGAUUUAUUGGGUUUAAAGGGUGCGUAGGCGGCCUGGUAAGUCAGGGGUGAAAGACGGUAGCUUAACUAUCGCAGUGCCCUUGAUACUGCUGGGCUUGAAUGUAGUUGAGGUAGGCGGAAUGUGACAAGUAGCGGUGAAAUGCAUAGAUAUGUCACAGAACACCAAUUGCGAAGGCAGCUUACUAAAGUAUGAUUGACGCUGAGGCACGAAAGCGUGGGGAUCAAACAGG
rnacentral:rRNA from 1 species